GGUCUUAUGGUCUAGUGGUAUGAUUCUCGCUUAGGGACACCUAAGUACGUUUGCGAGAGGCCCCGCGUUCGAAUCGCGGUAAGACCC
rnacentral:tRNA from 1 species